GGGUUAGUAGAUUGGUCAUGCCACCGGUAUGUACUGGUCUUACUGAUUCCUCCUUCCUGAUGAACCGUAAUGCCAUUAAUUUGGUGUUGCGGGGAGACUGGACUGUUGCUUUGAAAAAAUUAGAGUGUUUAAAGCAGGCUAACGCUUGAAUACAUUAGCAUGGAAUACGGAAAUAGGACGUUCGAUCCCAUUUUGUUGGUUUCUAGGAUUGACGUAAUGA
rnacentral:rRNA from 1 species